UGCCUAACUGACUGAGCCACCCAGGUGCCCCAAAGUACUUACUUUUGAACCUUGGAUGCAGACUCUGGAUCAUCUUCCUGCCUUGGGGAGGAGCGUUUCCAUCCCUCUGCUCAGCGACUAAAAUCCUAUCUUCAGCUUCAGCUUCAGGCUUGACAAAGAGCAUCUCUGAAAUGACCCCAAGAAGGCAGGGAGAAAAGACCUGGCUUCCAGGCCACAGGUUCUCUCCUCUCUUCUCUGGGUUUGUGGAGCCUGAAGGGAUGAUAGGAGUCAAGAACCAGCCUUAAACUGUGGUCCUCAAAUGGACACUCUCCCCAUCCUUCCCUUGCUCCUGUAGCCAGCAGGGGAAGAACGAUGCAUGUGUGUUUCUGUUCAAGGAGACACUGAACAAUCCAUUUCUAACUGAUGAAUCAAUCCCAUGCUGCGAUGUCUUCAUUACCUGUUUGAAAAGUUCUCCAGGACCAGGCUGGCUAUCUAAGAUAGCAAGUUAUCUUACUUCGGGGCAAGAUACUUCUUGGCACUUAUGUCUGAGGUCUUUAUUUUUCAAGGAGGUGUCUUCAUUUGCUAAAAGACAAUGUCUUGGCUCAAAUGAACCAACUCAACAGUCACCUGCAUUCCUUGACAGACUAUUGCUUCCUAAUAUUGCCACACCUGGGGUGUGUGCUGGGGCCCUCAGUGUGCAGCAUGAAUAUCUUUAUCCAUUUAGGGUGAGGUGGUGGCUGCUUCUGCUAUACUCCCCACAGGUGGCUUGGCUCUUAAUCAAACUCCUUUUGAUUCACAUGGGAAGUCUUCUUCAGGAAUUCCUUCUAGCUGCUGAAAAGUAUACGUCUCGUCGCUGUGGGCAGCGUGAGUCUCAGAAAGUCUGGGGCUCAAAUUCGAACAGGAGGUUGUCAAUAAAACUGGGAAGUGUGAAUGUGUCAUAACUUGGCCAGGACCGGCUGCAAGGCAUGCUGGGACAUCAGAAGCAAGAGGCGUCUGGAAGAGGAUGAGCUGCUGGGGCUCAACUGGAGGGAACUUAUCCAGCUGCAAAGCCGGCCAUUGAUGGGAAAACUGAGACUCCAGGAGGCGAGGUGACCAGCACAUAAGGAUACAGGUGGAGUACAAGUCCAGCGCCUUCUAAUUCUCGAAUCUAACCUCUUCCCACAAAGCAACUUGAGAACGGCGGGCCCAGCUGAUACAAGGGAAGCCUAAUUGACCACUUGACUUUGGAUAUACAAUCACAGAGUUAAUUUUCCCUUCCUGAAAUUGCUGCACCUCUGAAUUGGCAUACCUGCUCAGCUACCCCCACUGCUGACCCUGGGAUUGUCUGGGCCGCUGCUGAGGUCCAGGCCUUGGCUGAAGAAGCAUUUACGUGGCACUGGCCCUGCAACCUUGGCUGAUGUUAGAACAGCAUCCCAUCAAUCCCAAAAUGGGAAGUCAGGAGAGGAAGUGGAUUAGGAAUGUGGGUAAUAGAACUGUUCGGGACAAACACAAUUAUUUUCAAGAUAGGGACAUUGAAGCUCGUUGUGAUUGUUCAGGAGUUCUGAGGAGUGGAUGGACCUAGAACUACUGCUCAGGAUUCUCAUGGUCUAGGUGUCUUUCUAGCAGACUCUGCUCCUUCCUCCCCAGCAUCUCAACUCUCAAUGGCAACCUCACCAUUUUCUGGAUGUAAGAUCUAUCCCGCUUUUAACCAGAGAAGGCCAGCAUUCAAGCAAUCAUAGGGACUGUUGUUCAUCAGUUCUUCAGUAGUUUGAACACCUACUGUUGUGAAUCUAGAGUGGAACCUCAAGUAAGGAAGAUAUGACCAGGACUCCUAAGUAGGUUUUGGUCAAACCAUUCAGUUUAGUUUAGCCCACAAUUACCAACUGCCUGCAGCACCUGCCCUGGAACUCCUCAGGGGCUUCUGAGACUUGGCUGCCAAUGCAAAACCCUUCAUGUGUAACUUGGCACAUGGUGGGCAGUCAAUAGAUCUAACUAGGUCCCUUCUCCUUCUUCGGUCCAAAACUGUUAGCAGGUCUUGCUGGAGAAUGACAAUGCAUCUAUGCUAUGGAGAGAACCUCAGGAAAACAUCACCUGUCUUAGCGGUUGGGCCAUGGAUAAUGUAGGUGGAUGUUAUAAGCGGGACAGGAAGCCAGUGACAGAGCACAGAGUCCAUUUAGCGGCUGCUGGUGGCUGGAAGGUGGGUAAAACAUCACAUUAUGGGUGCAAGCUGAAGAUCAAUGUGCCUGCCCUCAGCGAACACAGUCAGAGAGGCUCUUAACCUCUUGGGGGAAAUGGGCAAAGUGUGGAAAUAUUACAUAACUUUGAGCAUCUUCCCAGAAAAAUACUGAAAACUUUGCAUAUAGUUUUGGAGAAAUAUUUGCACCCCUCCCCCAUUCCGAUCCCAAGCAAAGACUCUAGGCUCAGAAUAUACUGGAAGCAGACUCUAGCAAUUCCAAAGUGUGCAUUCCCUGUAAAGGAAAUGGUGCCAAGUGUUCUGCUGGAACCCUCAGGAAAAUACGUAAGUGCUGCUGGUGGAAAUCACCUGUUCCAUGUUGGCUGCUGCUUCGGAAUUUAGAAGGAUGACGUGCAGAACAUCAGUCAAUCAGAAGGAUUCAGGACAUUCAUCCAGGCACACGGGCAACUUCUGAGUGACUGCACAGCCCAACGGGGUUGUGCAGGGCUAUGUGUCCUUUCUGUGGAGUUGAAGCAACUCUCCAUGGGCUUUGCAGGGCAAGCCAGGGACAAGGGGUCAUUCCCUUUGAAGGAGAGAUGUGUACAGAAAGUAUGCAGGAGAGUGAGAGCCUGCAUAUUGUAUAGUAUUUCCUUAUUUGUUUUCAACCUAAAUCAGAAAGAUAUUUCUUGGGAUUGGCAGAGUUGCUAAGACAGAAUUUUUUUUUAAGUUAAGAUUUAAGCAUUACAGGGAAUUUCGGGGUGCUGGGGUGCUGUAUUUCUGGAUUUGGAUGCUGGUUGCGUGAGUGUGCUCAGUUGUGAUAUUCAGUGAGCUUACACUAUGUAUGUAAGUUCUACUUUUCUAUAGGUCUAUUAUGCUUCUAUAUAUAAACA